UCCCUCUUAACUCAGUUGGUAGAGUGCGUCACUCGUAUAAAUGUUACACAUGACGAAGUCAGUCGUUCAAAUCGGCUAGCGGGAA